CCUACGGGCGGCAGCAGUGAGGAAUAUUGGUCAAUGGGCGGAAGCCUGAACCAGCCAAGUCGCGUGAGGGAGUAAGGCCCUACGGGUCGUAAACCUCUUUUGCCGGGGAGCAGUGCCCAGCUCGUGAGCUGGGAGGGAGCGUACCCGGAGAAAAAGCAUCGGCUAACUCCGUGCCAGCAGCCGCGGUAAUACGGAGGAUGCGAGCGUUAUCCGGAUUUAUUGGGUUUAAAGGGUGCGUAGGCGGUUAUACAAGUUAGAAGUGAAAUACCCAGGGCUUAACUCGGGUGCUGCUUCUAAAACUGUAAGACUUGAGUGCAGUAGAGGUUAGUGGAAUUCCUAGUGUAGCGGUGGAAUGCGUAGAUAUUAGGAGGAACACCAGAGGCGAAGGCGGCUAACUGGACUGCAACUGACGCUGAGGCACGAAAGUGUGGGGAGCAAACAGGAUUAGAUACCCCAGUAGUC
rnacentral:rRNA from 1 species